rnacentral:lncRNA from 1 species
ACUCCCUCCGUCCACUAAUUCAAGGCCUUCUUUCCUUUUUGGGACGUCCACCAACUCAAGACCUAUCCAUUUUUAGUAAGUUUUUAUUUAUAUUUAAUUGGUGGGUCCCAAAACAAUACACUUUUUCUCCACUCAACUAAUAAACAAUAUAUUAAUUGUGGGUCCCUUUCUCCACUCAACUAAUAAAAAUACACUUUUUCUUAAAACCCGUGUUUUGC